rnacentral:rRNA from 1 species
GCAGCCGCCGCGGUAAUACGAAGGGUGCAAGCGUUAAUCGGAAUUACUGGGCGUAAAGCGUGCGUAGGCGGUUUGUUAAGUCUGCUGUGAAAUCCCCGGGCUCAACCUGGGAAUGGCAGUGGAUACUGGCAAGCUAGAGUGUGUCAGAGGAUGGUGGAAUUCCCGGUGUAGCGGUGAAAUGCGUAGAGAUCGGGAGGAACAUCAGUGGCGAAGGCGGCCAUCUGGGACAACACUGACGCUGAGGCACGAAAGCGUGGGGAGCAAACAGGAUUAGAGACCCGAGUAGUCCCUGUCUCUUAUAA